rnacentral:misc_RNA from 1 species
UCCGGUUUGUCACCGGCAGUCUCAUUAGAGUGCCCAACUCAAUGUAGCAACUAAUGACAAGGGUUGCGCUCGUUGCGGGACUUAACCCAACAUCUCACGACACGAGCUGACGACAGCCAUGCAGCACCUGUGUGAUGGCUCCCUUUCGGGCACGCCCUGAUCUCUCGGGGCUUCCAUCCAUGUCAAGGGUAGGUAAGGUUUUUCGCGUUGCAUCGAAUUAAUCCACAUCAUCCACCGCUUGUGCGGGUCCCCGUCAAUUCCUUUGAGUUUUAAUCUUGCGACCGUACUCCCCAGGCGGUCUACUUCACGCGUUAGCUGCGUUACCAAGUCAAUUAAGACCCGACAACUAGUAGACAUCGUUUAGGGCGUGGACUAC